rnacentral:rRNA from 1 species
ACGAAGGGGGCUAGCGUUGUUCGGAAUUACUGGGCGUAAAGCGCGCGCAGGCGGCUAUCCAAGUCAGUGGUGAAAGCCCGGAGCUCAACUCCGGAACUGCCAUUGAAACUGUUUAGCUUGAGGAUGAGAGAGGUGAGUGGAAUUCCCAGUGUAGAGGUGAAAUUCGUAGAUAUUGGGAAGAACACCGGUGGCGAAGGCGGCUCACUGGCUCAUUACUGACGCUCAGGCGCGAUAGCGUGGGGAUCAAACAGGA